rnacentral:rRNA from 1 species
AGCCCUAAAUCUUGAUGUUUCCCAAACACAAACAUCCGCCUGAGAACUACGAGCACAAACGCUUAAAACUCUAAGGACUUGGCGGUGCCCUAAACCCACCUAGAGGAGCCUGUUCUAUAAUCGAUAACCCACGAUCCACCCGACCACUUCUUGCCAAAACAGCCUACAUACCGCCGUCCCCAGCCCACCUCUGUGAGAGCACAACAGUGAGCCCAACAGCCCCCACUCCGCUAACAAGACAGGUCAAGGUAUAGCCCACGAAGUGGAAGAAAUGGGCUACAUUUUCUAAAAUAGAACAUCCAACGGAAAGGGGCCUGAAACCUGCCCCAAGAAGGCGGAUUUAGCAGUAAAGUGGGAUAAUCAAGCCCCCUUUAAGCCGGUCCUAGGGCA